rnacentral:rRNA from 1 species
GACGAACGCUGGCGGCGUGCUUAACACAUGCAAGUCGAACGGAAAGGCCCUGCUCUUGUGGGGUGCUCGAUAGGCGAACGGGUGAGUAACACGUGAGUAUCCUGCCCUUGUCUGUGGGGUAACUUCUGGGAACUGGGGCUCAUACCGGAUAGGAGCUCCUGCUGCAUGGUGGGGGAUGGAAAGAUUCGGCGGUUGGGGAUGGACUCGCGGGUUACCAGCUGGUUGGUGGGGUAGUGGCGUACCAAGGCUUUGAAGGGUAGCCGGCCUGGGAGGGUGAACGGCCACCUUGGGACUGAGGUAGGCACCAGACGCCUACGGGAGGCAGUGGUCGGGAGCAUUGCACAAUGGGGGGGAGUGUGAUACGGCAGCGCCGCGUGCGGGAUGCCGUCUUUCGGGUGGUAAACCGCUGUCGCCUGUGACGAAGCGUGCGUGACGGUAAUUGGUAAAGAAGCACCGGCUAACUACGUG